AUUGAACGCUGGCGGCAUGCUUUACACAUGCAAGUCGAACGGUAACAGGCCGCAAGGUGCUGACGAGUGGCGAACGGGUGAGUAAUGCAUCGGAACGUGCCCAGUCGUGGGGGAUAACUACUCGAAAGAGUGGCUAAUACCGCAUACGAUCUAUGGAUGAAAGCGGGGGACCGUAAGGCCUCGCGCGCUUGGAGCGGCCGAUGUCAGAUUAGGUAGUUGGUGGGGUAAAGGCUCACCAAGCCAACGAUCUGUAGCUGGUCUGAGAGGACGACCAGCCACACUGGGACUGAGACACGGCCCAGACUCCUACGGGAGGCAGCAGUGGGGAAUUUUGGACAAUGGGCGCAAGCCUGAUCCAGCAAUGCCGCGUGCAGGAAGAAGGCCUUCGGGUUGUAAACUGCUUUUGUACGGAACGAAACGGCUCUGGUUAAUACCCGGGGCUAAUGACGGUACCGUAAGAAUAAGCACCGGCUAACUACGUG
rnacentral:rRNA from 1 species